CCCCCGGGGCGGACAGAGGUCACCCAGCCCUUCGCUGUGCGACGGUGUCAUGCAAACCCUGUCUGUGGGGCGGUUUUCCAGCCUCCGCUCUGCCACCUUCACCCUUUGCUCUGCCCUUCCUUGGACGCCGGCCGGGAGGGGCCUGGGAGCCCCCGCGCUCGGACUUGCUUCGGAAACGCGCGGCGCCCUACUUCUCCUCGGGGACCGCGGGUCGCUCCCUACCGCCGCAUUCGGGAGGUCCAGCCAGACUUCUCUCGAGAGCGCCGUUCUUAUCUGUCAGCUCUGAAGGAAGGGGCAACCCACACCUGUUUAGGAGAAACGCCUCACUGUCUCUAUAGAAGCUGAAAUCCAUCAAUCUUCGUUCUUCAAAAUGCAAUGGAAUGUACCAAAGACUGUAUUCCGACUGGCACAUAGGACAUGCAUGGAACCAGAUAAAGCUGGUCUUUUGGGACACUGUCAAAACAUGAAGGGACCAUUACUUUUGUAUACCUUGGAAUCCAGAGUGGUUUGGGUACAGGGCCCUCAGAAACGAUGGCUGCACUUACCUGCUGCCCAGUGUGUUGCAAAGGAAAGGAAGCCAUUCAUUGCUCACCCACCCCAACCAGGGGUCCAUAAACAGUGGGAGCAGGAUAUCUUAUCCAAGAGGGUUCUGUCAUCCAGUGCUACAUCCCCAGGAACUCCCUCUGAAAAAAAGGAAGAACCUGAUCCUUUACAAGACAGAUCAAUUAGUCUUUAUCAACGAUUUAAGAAAACAUUUAGACAAUAUGGAAAAGUUUUGAUUCCAGUGCAUCUAAUAACUUCUGGUGUUUGGUUUGGAACGUUUUAUUAUGCAGCCAUAAAAGGAGUGAAUGUCGUUCCUUUUCUAGAACUUAUUGGGUUACCUGACAGCGUAGUAAACAUUCUGAAAAAUUCCCAGAGUGGAAAUGCACUAACAGCAUAUGCCCUGUUUAAGAUUGCAACGCCCGCGCGGUACACUGUGACCCUGGGGGGGACCUCCUUCACUGUGAGGUAUCUGCGCAGCCGUGGCUACAUGUCGACGCCACCUCCUGUGAAGGAGUAUCUGCAGGACAGGAUGGAGGAGACAAAGGAGCUCCUCACAGAGAAGAUGGAGGAGACAAAGGACAGACUCACUGAAAAACUGCAAGAAACCAAAGGAAAGGUUUCUUUUAAGAAAAAAGUGGAAUAGGGUGCCUUAUAUACCAGAUUAUAGACAGUUCCUGCACUUUAACCCUUGGGGACUAUGGACAAAGAUUAGAAUAUUUGAAGAUAAAUGCAGAGGUCACCGUCAGCCACUAAAGACAGAGCUCUCUCACCCCAGCACCUCACACACACUGAGGACAGCGCUGCUCACAAGGCGUCCCUCCCUGCACACCAGCCUCAAGGCAGGAGCAGCAAGUGGCCGUCUAACCCUGGCCGUGAACAUAAAAUCCUGAUACCUGUGGAAUUCGCACAAUUCAGCAGACCUCAAGCAGCAGCCUUGGCACAGCGAACACAAGGCUUAGAGAGCAGCCCCUAGCCGCUGCCUCGCAGCCAGACCAGUGUGGGAGCCUGGUGGCUAGCAGCAAAUGGAAGCUGCUUUGGAGGGGCUCGUGGACCCGGACAGUCUCUGCAAGGACUCUCUGGACAGAAGAGCAGGUGGAGAGAUUGACUACUUGUGUGGAUGUUACUGUCUGAAAUGGAUGAAGAUUCCAAUUCUCCAAACAAAACCCAGGGACCUACCAACCAAGAGGAACCUCGGAAAGGAGCAGCAGAAAGCAGUUUGAGAGCUUUCUGCCAGCAGCACGAGGGCACCUCACCGGGCAGCCACCUCCGAGACCACGAUAGCAGACACCCGGAACUGCAGAAACUGCACUGCUGGAGGACCAGGGCAGCACUGCGUGGUGUGUAAAUGCAGGUGUAAAACAUGCAGCCUGAGGCUGGAGGGACUCAACACACCAGGGAUGCAGGAGUUUACUCCAUCCAGAGUCUCCAGGUGCCUCAGUGACGCAUUCACUACUGUGUGGUGACUUUCUUGGUGAAUGUAAGUAAGUGACGUACGUUAGGCUACCUCCCCAAACACCCUUUCCUGCAUGAUUAUGGGGGAGAUGAUUAUGGGGCCUAAUUAUAAUCCACAGGUGAAAAGACAACAUACAGAACUUCGCGUAAAGCUUCCUCAUUAUCUUAAACAUGAAGAUAGUGCAACUUUUAAAACACAGCAUCACAACACUGAUUAACCCCUUGCAUUCAUCUGACUUCUCCACUUUAUACCUUGGCACACAAAACAGGAACUUAGAAUCAUAUUUUUAAAACAAAAGUUCCACGUUUGGGGGUGGGAAGCAAACUGGCGAUUCUUCCCCAUAAUGUAUAAUAAUGUUUUCCUCUUUAUUCAGUGAAUUGUAAAGCAGGCCAUUCUGGCCUCUUCCCCUGCUGCGUCUGCUUUCAUAAUCAAGUCAGAUGCCUCUGGGGGUUUUAUUUCAUGAUGUCUUCAAAGCACCCCUUUGUAUUCUCAUGCCCACCCUUUGCCAAAACCUGCCCUUUCCUAUCACUACCCCAGAUGAACACCGUUUGCGGCCAGACUGGAGGAGGUUUGUACUAUUUCAGCCUGCAUGCGGCUCCUGUGGAAGGAAUCAUUCUGUUUUACUGAACUUGCUGUGCUGGGGAUGGAGGAGUAGUGCCACCACCUCCCUCCUCCUUUCUUAAGUCAGGUGUGUACGCAGGUCAGAUGAGGUUCCCGGGCUUCCUGUCCUUGCCCUGGACGGGCAGCUCGGUGCCCCCCAGGGCCGUCCCGCUGGAGUGGCAGUCUGCUCCCCCCGUGUGUGCUGCUGUGCUGGGGGUGGAAGAGAGUGGCGCCCAGGCAGUGGCCCAUCACCUCACUGUAGGCCGGGGGUGGCCCCUCCAUCCUCCUGUUACUGCUGCAGGUGCUGGCACUUAUGCCUGAAUUGCUGCUGGGUGGGCGUGGGCCCCCGCUGUAGACGGACACAUCUAUCAAAUCGCUGUCAAAUAUGGUUCGGUUGGGCGGGGCCCUCACAGACUCUCGGUUGAGUUCCAUCUGCUGUUCGGGAUCCCGGAGCUGCAGGGUGCAGGGCCCCUGGUAAGGAGGUGGCUCCUCCCCGUCCGACAGGGAGAUGGUGGGGGGAAGGUCGAUCUCGUGUUGCACGUAGGGGUAGGUGGGCUGGAAUCGGCUGAACCGAUCCCUCUGGAGAAAGGUGGGGGCAGUCCCCCCAUUCCUGGACUGCGGGGCAUACAUGAUCUGCAGGGAAAAGAGCAACACCUGGGAGACGUUCUUGGCACGGUGAUGACCACGGACGUGAUGGCAGCAAGGAAAUUCACGUCUGUUCUCACCCAUCUGAAAACUUUCCCCCCCAAAAAACAUGUAAGGGCUAUUCCAGAAAAGCAGAGGUUUUUCGUUCCUAAUGACUUACAUCACUCACCUUGCCAAACCCAGGAUGGUUCAGCAACGGAUAAUUGCGGUUACCUGAAAAUGUAGGCUUAAUGGAGUUACUGUGUACAUUUCCCACUCGUCAAGGAGAAUACAGGAGCCCCCCACCCCGGCCCGCCCACCAUGUGACCUUCUCCGGGCCCCACUCCUGUGUUUCAGAGGAGUAUAGAGGGUGAAGAAUUUUCAUUGUAAAUGUAAGUUGUAACUUCACAGGAUGGUACUUGGAGCAGGUACAAGACAUUGGGUCAAUUUAUGAGUUAUUUCUAGGAGCUUGUUGCCCUAUCAAUUACUUUAAAAUAUGGAACUGACAUGAAAACUUUUAUAUUCCAAAUUAAGUAUGAUUAUAGAUUUUUUUUUCCCCCAAAAGAAUCCAGGUACUCUCUUUCUUGCAUAACUUCGCAUCUAUAUUCCACCAUCUCACUUUCUUCUAGAGGAAGGACAUAUGUAUAUAAAGAUAUACAUCCGUCAACUUCUCUCACACCAUGUUUUUAACUUAAAGGCAAAAAACGUUAUUUUUACAAUCAUACUAUUAAACUGAGAGAUGGGGUGAAUCAAGCGGUGAUGUUUAUAAGCUACGCUGACACCCACCACCUCAUUGUCAGCAGCCUAAGGCAUCAAGUGAAGAUCCUGGAUUCUCGACCUGUUUUCUGGAAGGAGCUCUGGCCAGGCACAAAGAAUCCUUGGGAGAGUCUAGGGAAGACCCCUCCCCCACCUCUUAAACCAAGUUACAGGCACAGGCCUUGAUCUUCGUCUGUGCUGACACGUUCAACCCUUCCACCAAUUUUGUUCAUCCCCCUUUACGCAUCUCCUGCCACCCACAGCCCGCCUGUGUCCAACCCCUUACCUCUGAGGUGGGCUGAGGUCCAGAUCUGUCUGAAGGCCACAGGCGCCCUUCCUGGUUGGGGGGUGGGGGACAUCACAGGAAGAUCAUUAGUCUCAUUCAGCAGCACCCAAAGCCAAGGGAUCACACUCAGCUGAGCGCAGGCUAUUUAACACCCAGAACAACAAAGCCCCAGCCUUUUGUUACCUACCUGCACUCCCAGAGGAGUCAUGGCCACAGAAAAGUCAAACAGUUCGGGUCUCCCCACAGUAGCCUUGAACGGUGUGCCCAUCCACACCGGUUGGCUUUCAGACUGUUCCCCAAACUACAGAGCCCUCUGUGCAUCUUCUCAUGAAUUGAUUCCUCAGUGCAAAUGCUCAUGAGGAGUGUGGAACCUGACAUCUAGUUGCUUAGUAAUCUUUCAAAAAUGGCCAGGGACUUUCCUGGUGGUGCAGUGGUUAAGACUCCACGCUCCCAUUGCAGGGGGCCUGGGUUCAAUGCCUGGUCAGGGAACUAGAUCCCACAUGCAUGCCACACCUAAGAGUUCGCGUGCCGCAACUAAAGGAGCCUGCAUGCUGCAACUAAGGAGCUGAUGAGCCACAACUAAGACACAGCGCAACCAAAAAAAAAAAAAAACCAGACCAACAAGGUGAUGAGCAAACAGUAGGCAUGAUUAAGGAUCACUUCUAACAAACACCAUAAACUUGUCUACAGAGCAUUUCAGUGUGGUAUCCCUUUUGAACCCCAAUUGUUGGCUAUAGCAGGGUCUGCGGGGCUUUUGUGACUAGUAAGAGAAGAACGGGGUGGGGGGUAGAGAAGUUCCUGUAUUUUUGGAUUCCCAGGAAUGUGCACGUACAACCUCCUGCCAUCAUGGCCUCCUGUGACCUGAAAGUGCCCACCGGUAGACUUGGGAGGUCAAACAGCCCCAGGUCUUCAGAAGUGAAAGCGACCUCCCCUGCUCCUUGCAGGUGGGCAUCCACCAUGGCCCCCCUCGCUGUGAGCAGGUGGCAUCCCUAGAUCUGACUAUACAACUAUGUAACGGCGACAGAGUGGCUCUAACCAGGUGUCCGAGCCCUAGGCAUGCUUCUUUGCGUCAAGGGAGAUGUCACUCCUGCGUUGAGAACAGCACAGAGCAUCCUUCACUAUUCCUAAGAAUUCCACCCUUGGCAACAGCAGAUUAAAGCACAGGGCGCAGCCUGUCACAGCACCAAAUGAAGUGGGCAGGAAGGGACCCAGAAGAGGGGUAGUAGCACGUUUUCUGAAAACGGCAAUAACUAUUCUCAAUGGCUUUAUUUCCCUAGAAAUUAGCAAAACUGGAAAAAUGCCUAGAAGAAAUCCACACCAAGCCUUGCACACACAAUCCUGUAUUUCACCAAAUUCACAUCAACCUACCUGUUUCUAAAUCCACGCGCUUCCCGGCCUCCUCCCAGGCUUCCUGCUGCCCCUCCCCUUGACCCUACCCCUCCUGGUC